rnacentral:rRNA from 1 species
UGAGUACGAGAUGCUACGGCAUCGAAGCAGUCUAUGUCAUACUUCCAAGAAAAGCUUGCACUGUCAGAAACAGAUAAUGCCUGUACCAUAACCGACACAGGUGGGUAGGUAGAGUAUACUAAGGGGCGCGAGAUAACUCUCUCUAAGGAACUCGGCAAAAUGACUCCGUAACUUCGGGAGAAGGAGUGCCUUAUUUUUAAGGUUGCAAUAACAAGAUCCAAGCAACUGUUUACCAAAAACACAGGUCUCCGCUAAGUCGUAAGACGAUGUAUGGGGGCUGACGCCUGCCCAGUGCCAGAAGGUUAAAGAAGUCGGUUAGCAUUCGCGAAGCUGGUAACUGAAGCCCUGGUGAACGGCGGCCGUAACGAUAACGGUCCUAAGGUAGCGAAAUUCCUUGUCGGGUAAGUUCCGACCCGCACGAAAGGCGUAAUGAUUUGGAUACUGUCUCGGAGAGGGGCUCGGUGAAAUAGACUUGUCUGUGAAGAUGCGGACUACCUGCACCUGGACAGAAAGACCCUAUGAAGCUUUACUGUAACUUGAAAUUGAAAUUGGACUUUAUUUGCGCAGUAUAGGUGGGAGGCGUUGAAAAUAUUCUUGCGGGAAUAUUGGAGCCAUCAGUGAGAUACCACUCUUGUAAUGUUAGAUUUCUAACUUUAUAUCAUUAUCUGGUUAAAGAACAGUUUCAGGCGGGCAGUUUGACUGGGGCGGUCGCCUCCCAAAUGGUAACGGAGGCGCACAAAGGUUUCCUCUGAACGGGUAGAAAUCGUAUCUAGAGUGUAAAGGCAUAAGGAAGCUUGACUGUGAGACCUACAAGUCGAGCAGGGACGAAAGUCGGUCUUAGUGAUCUGACGGUGCUGAGUGGAAAGGCCGUCACUCAACGGAUAAAAGUUACUCUAAGGAUGACAGGCUGAUCUCCCCCAAGAGUUCACAUCGACGGGGAGGUUUGGCACCUCGAUGUCGGCUCAUCGCAUCCUGGGGCGGUAGUACGUCCCAAGGGUUGGGCUGUUCGCCCAUGAAAGCGGUACGCGAGCUGGGUUCAGAACGUCGUGAGACAGUUCGGUCCAUAUCCGGUGUAGGCGUUAGAAUAUUGAGAGGAGCCUUCUUUAGUACGAGAGGACCGAGAAGGACAUACCUCUGGUGUACCAGUUAUCGUGCCAACGGUAAACGCUGGGUAGCUAUGUAUGGAGUGGAUAACCGCUGAAAGCAUCUAAGUGGGAAGCCCACCUCAAGAUAAGUAUUCUCAUC